ACUUAAAUUGAAGAGUUUGAUCAUGGCUCAGAUUGAACGCUGGCGGCAGGCCUAACACAUGCAAGUCGAGCGGUAGCACAGAGAGCUUGCUCUCGGGUGACGAGCGGCGGACGGGUGAGUAAUGUCUGGGA
rnacentral:rRNA from 2 species